AUGUGUUGUGAGGAGUUCAAGAGAGGCAAUCUGCUACAUCCGUUGGAGAUGGAUUCCUUUUUCCCGGUGCUGCAGUACGCCGACGACACCCUGAUUCUGAUCAAAGGGACUGUGGAGCAAACCGCAAUCGUCAAGAGGAUGCUUAAGCGUUUCUCUGACUUCACUGGUCUGCAGAUCAACUUCAAUAAAAGCACCUUUGUGCCCAUCAACAUGGAGCAAUCUACUAGCCAGCAAGUUUCUGAGCUGCUAGAGUGUCCGGUCUCAACCUUCCCUUGUAACUACUUGGGCUUGCCGUUGUCAACAAACAAGAUCACCCAUGCGAUGUUGAUGCCAGUCAUACACCGAGUGGACAAAAGACUCUCUGGCUGGUUGGUAACCUUCUUGUCUUGGGGAGGGAGGCUUACAUAA
rnacentral:rRNA from 1 species